rnacentral:rRNA from 1 species
UACGUAGGGUGCAAGCGUUAAUCGGAAUUACUGGGCGUAAAGCGUGCGCAGGCGGUUAUGCAAGACAGAUGUGAAAUCCCCGGGCUCAACCUGGGAACUGCAUUUGAGACUGCAUGGCUAGAGUACGGUAGAGGGGGAUGGAAUUCCGCGUGUAGCAGUGAAAUGCGUAGAUAUGCGGAGGAACACCGAUGGCGAAGGCAAUCCCCUGGACCUGUACUGACGCUCAUGCACGAAAGCGUGGGGAGCAAACAGG